AAUCUAACUUUUGCAUACUAUCUUAAAGAAACCUAAACUAAUUAAUGUCUUACAAAAAGAAAAUCCAAAUAACAAGUCAUCCUAAAUAGUAAUCAACCUAAGCUAGUAAAAUCAUCAUCUCGUCCUUGAUCCUCCCUAUGUUGGUUGGCUGAUGGUGUUGUUGAUGGUUGAACUGCUUGAAUUAUUUGCCUCAUCAUCUCUGGUAAUUGUGUUUGCAAAAAAGAGGCCAAUGCAUUAUUUAUAACUGUAUUGACCCGUUCUUCUGUCAUAGGCGUAAGAUUUGUAGAG